GGAUGAUAGAACCAAAAUGGACAUGUGUGUUUGGACCCUCAAGUUGUGUGAAUGUGAGAUUGGACUUGGACAAUAGAAAACAAGGGUGACAUUGACAUAGAAACAAGAUUGGCAUUGAGAGAUGAACCGUUAACAUAGUUUAACCAAUUAUGGCAUCAUCACAGGUAUAGCCUUGAGAGUGGCAAGAAUGAAUAGGUAGAGACCUAUCAUGACAUUGGCAUUGUGACUAGUGGCUAUGAAUCCUCAAGUUGAGGAUUGGAUCGAUACUCACAUUACGUCUUGGCUUGAGGGAGGUCGCUCUCCCUCGAGCGGUGCGCUCCGGAGUUGGUCACCACUGGGCGUGGUAAAGUCCUCCCAGAUGACGGUCCCUAGGGAGGUUCGAGUCCCCCGCUAUUAAGGGAUUUUGAGUGGUGAGUUAUUGCGGUUAACAAGGUUAACCGGUAAGAUUGGGUAAGAGCCAAAGCUUCUUUGAGAUUUGAGCAUGCAUGCAUUUUCUAUUAUUGCAUCGAGUAUAAGUAUCCACUGACAUUCUUUUGCAGGCAUGGUAUCAGAUGCAUUAGUAUUGGUUACUUCUCUUUCCUUUGUAAUACUUAUGCCUGGAUGGA
rnacentral:lncRNA from 1 species